UGUGUAUAUAUAUAUAUGUGUGUGUGUGUACAUUUUAUAAAAAAAAAAAUACAUUGAUCUACCAGGAAUGGUGGCACAUACCUGUAAUUCCAGUAUUUGGAAAUUUGAAAAACUGAGGCGGGGGUGGGGGUGGGGGUGUGUGUAUGUGUGAAAAGCUUAAAGCCAGUGAGAUCUGUCUCAAAAUAGCAGCAACAAAACUCCCCAAAUCAGGAGGUAGCAGCAAAGAAGCAGAUGCCAUCCUGUAGCUCUUCACAACUGUUCCUUACCGCUGACGUGUGGCUGGGGCGCUCUACCCCUGAGCACUUACCCAGCCCCUGCCUGAGCCUCCUUCAUCUUGAGAAAUCAGUGGACUGUCUACUCCCUUCCAGGAAACGCCAUUGAGACAAGCCGAUGGCAGGAAACGGCCAAAGGUCCGGUCCUAAAAUCAUCCUCCACCUCACAGAGAUGCUGUAGAGGAACUCAGUCCCCUCCCCACCUAGGAAAGGCCAGCGGGGCAACAGGAACCCCGAACCCUGAGGAGAGACCGACUCUCUGUUUCCUUUUAAAUUUAAUGUUAUGUGUAUUGAUAUUUUGUCUGCAUGGAUGUCCGGGUGACACGGUCAGAUUCCCUUGAACAGAAAUUACAGACAGUUGUGAGCUACCAUGUGGUUGCUGGGAAUUGAACCCAAGUCCUCUGGACCUGGUCCACUGUUCAGCCAGUGAGUGCUCUUAACCACUAGACUAUCACUCCAGCCUGAAAAGUGACUCUUUAGUUCUUUCAUGUCUCCAGGAAAUGGCCCUAUAGAUCUAAAGAGCAGUGUGUGUGUGUGUGUGUGACCACAUGAAGGGCAGAGGUCUAUGGUAGCUUUUCAUUUUAUUGUUUAAGACUGUCCCUCACUGAACCUGGAGUUUCCAGUGAGCCCCUGAGAUCUGCCUGGCUCUGCCCUCCCCCAGCCCAGCCCCCACCCAGGCACAUGCCACUCUUCCUGGCUUUAGCAUAGAUGCUAAGAAUCCAAACGGAGACCAUCAGGUUUGUAGUGCAAGCACCUUACCCACUGAGCUAUAUCCCCCAAUCCAUGGAGAACAUAUUUUUAAGGCCAGAGGGUACUGCCAAUUGUAAAAGGCAUAUUCAAAAAUCUAAGAAGCAUGCUCAGAGGUUUUAUGUAAACAACCGUGCUCCGACCAGAAGGCAUCAAACACGGCUGUAAUCCUAGCACUUGGCAGUGGGGGGCAGAAAGGUCAGAAAUCUAAGGCCAAUCUCAGUACACAGUGAGUUCAAGAGCAGCCCCAGCCCGGGGCUACAUAACACCCCACCCUGAAAACAGAACAACGCCUCCCAAACCAACCCUCACCAAAACAACCCUUGAGUCCUCGGGUUUACCCGAAUUAAAAAUUGAGCUUGUGCCUCAACCGAGGUGCUCAAAGGCCAAGAGAGCGGGUGAAACAGCACACAUCCCAAAGUCCCUUUCUCAUCUCACCCUGAGCCUGCCUUCACGGAGGAUCCAUACCGGAAGAUCUCAGCAUCAAAGGGCAACAACCCUGGCGUUAAAACACAUCGGAUCAAAUCUGAUAUUUACAAUGUAGUCAAAGGCACAGUGGCAUUGAAAAACAAAACGCUGGGAGAUGUAUAGUAAAAGAUUCGUUGUAAUCAUUAAUCUGGUUUUCAGCUAGGAGAAUUAACUCUUGAGAGAUGAUGCACACAGCAGGCCUUCGGAACCGGUGUGCUAGUUACUAGGGAGACCACGCCUCCUUCAGACCACGCCUCCUUCCCGCAGUUUACAUCUUUCCGGCCUUCUUGCCCAUCUGCGCCGGCACUCGGAGGAUGUUGGGGGUCUCCUCCAUGACUCUGACUAGCAGGUUGUCGAUGUAGUCCUCCAGCUCCCGCACCUGAAACUCCUUCUUGCUGAUGGUCUCCUUCUGUUUGAGGACUAGCUGGAUCAGCUCAUCGUGGGUCAGCUGCGCGUAGGCAAAGGCGGGAUCCGAGGGCUGGUAUUUCUUUGGAGAGGGAAGGAAGAGGGAAGGGGUUAAGAGUCAGCAGAGACAGGAACUCGCAGAGAUCAACCUGCCCCUGCUUCCCAGGUGUUAAAACACGCGCCACCACACCCGGCUUAGAAAGCCACUUUCCACAAAGGAUGAAACCAGGCGGCUGACGAGAAGAGAGAAGGACUUUGGAGUCUGUAGAGUAGGGCUUAAACUCAGGGUUUUGGCCACGGCAAGCAAGAGCUCUCUACCACUGAGCUACAACCCCUUGAGCCGCUCCGGGUGUGACUUCCAAAACUGGAUUCAAACCUGGCAGGAUGGUGCACACUUGCCAUCCCAGCACUAAGGAGAUGAAGGGCCGCGAGCGAUUACAAGCCUGAGCUACCACACCCUGUUUAUGUGCUCCUGAGGAUCAACCCCACGAUUCCUGAUUACUAAGCAAGAACUCCAUCAACUGAAUUAAACCCCGAGCCCUUUCCUUUUACUUACUUCUUAAAAUGACACACUCCCUGAGACGGAACCCGUGUUGGACACCGCUCCAGUCGUGAAGAACCUGAGACUAGACAGGCCACGGACCCAGGGAAAGCCAAAUACUCUGCUAAAGGGACAGAGCAAUAGAAGGACUCCUAAUGACACUCUGCCAUACCUAAGGUCUUGAGAAGUCCCAGCAACUGGACCAUCCCUCCCCUCGGGGCUCCGGGAACCCUGUGGAAGAGGAGGUAGGAAGAGUAUAAGGGGCAGAGGGAAGUACAGCAAGGCAAGAAGGACUGACAUGCCUGUGUUCCCACAGACGGGCAGCAUGCUCAGGUUCAAGCCAGGUGCCUCCCAGCACGGAGAGAGGAAGCAGACACCAGGCCCCACCUUAACUCAAAAAGCCAUCUCCAACUGACAAACAUUUACAAAGGAAACAUUAGUUUCUCCAAGUGAGUCUCCUUGGGUACACAAACCCACUUGAUGCGCAGGCCCCAUGCCCAGUGGUAGAUAGCCAACACAAAAUGAACAAUAGUAUUUUUGUAGAUUUUUUUUUUUUUGGUCUCUUAUUGCUUUAUCUGGAGGUUUUAUUUUUAAACCCUGCUGGUCAUUUGCUUAUAUAUUAUUGUUUCCAAUUUUGUGUUUUUAUUUUCUCUCUGUGUGUGUGUAUACUUUUCUGUUUUAUUCUGGCUUUUGUUUUGUUUUUACUUAUCUGUAUGUUCUGUAAAGAGAGGGGGGCAUGGAGUUGGAUGGGCCGGGAGGAUCUGGGAGGAAAGGAGGGAGGGGGAACCAUGAUCAAAUACAUUACAUGAAAAAACAUUAUUCAAAAGAAUAAAAAAUGAUUAAGAGCUGUUGAGAAAGAUAUCUACCUGACCACAACCUCUGGCCUCUACACGCCUGCACACAC
rnacentral:lncRNA from 1 species